rnacentral:misc_RNA from 1 species
GGAAGUAAAAUCGUAACAAGGUUUCCGUAGGUGAACCUGCGGAAGGAUCAUUAUUGUGUAACCGAGGUGCGAGGGCUGUCGCUGACCCGAAAGGUCGUGCACGCCCGAGUGCCCUCACACACAUCCAUCUCACCCCUAUGUGCACCACCGCGUGGGUCCCCCUUUGGCUUGUUCGGAGGGGGGCUUACGUUUUCACACAAACUUUGUAUGCAGUGUAGAAUGUAUUUUUUGUUUUUGCGAUCACGCAAUCAAUACAACUUUCAACAACGGAUCACUUGGCUCUC